rnacentral:lncRNA from 1 species
AGCCAGUCUGAAGGGUCAGAGGGUGGAACCACUGGCCAGGGCUCCUCACCCUGGCAGGGGAUCAGGAAGGUUUUCUGAAAGUCCUUGGAAUUAACUUCAUCACAACUACACAGAGAAACCACUCAAGUUUCUUCAGAUGGAGUUUCUGGGGUAUAAACCAUCCAAUUGAAAGCGCUUCCAACUAGUUAAAAUGCACCCGAGGGAAGUUUUCCGAAUUUAAAUGAUGCAUCAUCUGGCCACGUUGAUGAGUAGGAUCUUAACAGUGACUCAACCAAUAAGCUUAACCAUGGACACAAGAGACGUCUCCAAAAGAGAUCCAGAAAGUUCACUUCCAAAAAUAGUCUAAGAAAGUUAAGACCUUCAUUGCACAGCAAGCAACAAAGGUUGAGACGACAAAGGCCCUUUAUGAAAGCAAUUGUGACCCCUUAUGACAAUCUCCCCUGAGAACUAACACAGCCCAACAAAGAGAGUGUGUCCCAGAACCCCAGUCUACACAACUGACUGCCAAGAUGUGUGCCGGUACAUGCAUCCUCCAGAUGGCGGAGACCAGAAAGAUUGCAAAGCCAAGCUCUCAAGACAUAGAACAAGACAAAAGGCCCAGACAACAGGCUUAUAGAGAUGCCUGUGUCUUACGACAAACAACAAAAAGACAGAGACAAGGAAAAGUACUAUCUCCAGGAGGAAAAGGAGCUAUAAUCAAUGAGUACUCAACCAAAUCCUAGAGUCAUUGAAUCCAACAAGCUAGCCUCACCAAAAUUUUCUCCUGCUAAUCUAAAUUUAGAAGAGCAAAGAAAAACUCACCACGCUUGCUUCCAUUGGACCCUGCAGGCAGAGAUGUGGGAGACUGACAUGAUAAGAACUCUUACCUCUUGCUGGCUCUCGUCAGGGGUUCGGGAUCUCUUGACUGCAGCAGUCCAGGAGCAAGCAGUGUCCAGCCAGUGAAAUUUUAUCCCAUCCAAGCCGCCAAACUGUAGGGGAGGAAGUCAUUUCCUCUACCCACUCUGGGUUCUUCUGGCCGGAGAACAAAUUAAAUUCAUGAGACAGAACAACAGGAGAAAAUUAAACAAAGCUUUAUAACAUGUAUAUAUGGGAGAAGCUCAGGCAACUUGAGCAACUCACCAAAAUGGCUGAAGCCCCCACCUUAAAUAUCAUCUUCAGCAGCUUCCAAAGAUGGCGCCGUGAGUAGUCCUCUUUGUCUCUCGCCCUUCGAGUCUACAAUUAUUUGGACACUUAUCGCUUGACAAAGGAUAUCCAGACAGCAUCUCAGGACGUCUGAGACACCCACGCGACUAUACAUCGGAAGGCGGAUGGACUUUCCUCCGGGAGGAUGUGGAAAUAGGUGAAAACUCUCCGACCCCGACGGGCAGCCUAGUACCCGCAAGCGGCUUUCUCCCAACGGACGCCCCCAGAGGAUCCACACACAUCUAGGGCAGGAGCGAGAACACAACAGAGGAGCGACGGUGGAAACAG